UUGAAAAGUUUGCAGUGAAGCUUUAAAUGUGCAAUUGCUGAGCUCCUUGUAUUUAUAUAUAUGCAAAUACAAGGAGCUCAGCAAUUGCACAUUUAAAGCUUCACUGCAAACUUUUCAAUAAU
rnacentral:pre_miRNA from 1 species